AGCGAACGCUGGCGGAAUGCUUAACACAUGCAAGUCGCACGGGGGCUUCGGCCUAGUGGCGGACGGGUGAGUAACGCGUAGGAAUGUGUCGAGGGUGGGGGAUAACGUUGGGAAACUGACGCUAAUACCGCAUAUCCCCUGAGGGGGGAAAGCAGCGAUGCGCCCACGGAGCAGCCUGCGUCCGAUUAGCUAGUUGGUUAGGUAAAGGCUGACCAAGGCGACGAUCGGUAGCUGGUCUGAGAGGAUGAUCAGCCACACUGGAACUGAGACACGGUCCAGACUCCUACGGGAGGCAGCAGUGGGGAAUAUUGGACAAUGGGCGCAAGCCUGAUCCAGCAAUUCCGCGUGGGUGAAGAAGGUCUUCGGAUUGUAAAGCCCUUUCGUUGGGGACGAUGAUGACGGUACCCAAAGAAGAAGCCCCGGCUAACUUCGUG
rnacentral:rRNA from 1 species